CCUACGGGGGGCAGCAGUGGGGAAUCUUGCGCAAUGGCCGAAAGGCUGACGCAGCGACGCCGCGUGGAGGAUGACGCCCUUCGGGGUGUAAACUCCUGUUGCCCGGGACGAACGACCUGUUUCGACAGGUGUGACGGUACCGGGUGAGGAAGCACCGGCUAACUCUGUGCCAGCAGCCGCGGUAAUACAGAGGGUGCGAGCGUUGUCCCGAAUCACUGGGGGCACGGGGCGGGUAGGCGGCUGGUGUGGUGAAAGUCCGGGGCUCAACACCGGAUCGGCCAUGCGAACUGUCCAGCUGGAGCACGGUAGAGGCACAUGGAAUUCCGGGUGUAGCGGUGGAAUGCGUAGAGAUCCGGAAGAACACCGGUGGCGAAGGCGGUGUGCUGGGCCGUAGCUGACGCUGAGGCGCGACAGCGUGGGGAGCAAACAGGAUUAGAUACCCCUGUAGUC
rnacentral:rRNA from 1 species